rnacentral:rRNA from 1 species
GAUGAACGCUGGCGGCGUGCCUAAUACAUGCAAGUCGAGCGAACGGACGAGAAGCUUGCUCCUCUGAUGUUAGCGGCGGACGGGUGAGUAACACGUGGAUAACCUACCUAUAAGACUGGGAUAACUUCGGGAAACCGGAGCUAAUACUGGAUAAUAUUUUGAACCGCAUGGUUCAAAAGUGAAAGACGGUUUUGCUGUCACUUAUAGAUGGAUCCGCGCUGCAUUAGCUAGUUGGUAAGGUAACGGCUUACCAAGGCAACGAUGCGUAGCCGACCUGAGAGGGUGAUCGGCCACACUGGAACUGAGACACGGUCCAGACUCCUACGGGAGGCAGCAGUAGGGAAUAUUCCGCAAUGGGCGAAAGCCUGACGGAGCAACGCCGCGUGAGUGAUGAAGGUCUUCGGAUCGUAAAACUCUGUUAUUAGGGAAGAACAUAUGUGUAAGUAACUGUGCACGUCUUGACGGUACCUAAUCAGAAAGCCACGGCUAACUACGUG